AUGCUUGCCUGUGCACAUGUGAAUGCAUGUAUGUGUGCAUACUCACACAGUAGUUUUAACUUAAAUAUUUUUCUUUAACAAAAUACAGAGAGUUCAUUGACUGUAGAUAAAACUUGAGCACCAUAUAAAUCUAGGAGAAAAAGAGCUUUGAAGAAAUGCUUCACCUUUUCCCCAGGAGUCAACUCAGUGACCCAACCUGCUUCUGAUGGGAGAGGACGUAUUCAUCACCACACACCUCCGCUAAUUUCCCAGCAAGUAAUUGACAACAUUAUUGAGGGAACUUCAUGAAGCUCACUGCAGAUCAAAACAAACCUUGUAUGCUCUGACAGCAUUAAACCCC
rnacentral:lncRNA from 1 species